rnacentral:rRNA from 1 species
CCUACGGGUGGCAGCAGUGAGGAAUAUUGGUCAAUGGACGAGAGUCUGAACCAGCCAAGUAGCGUGAAGGAUGACUGCCCUAUGGGUUGUAAACUUCUUUUAUCUGGGAAUAAAAUGUUCCACGUGUGGGAUUUUGUAUGUACCAUAUGAAUAAGGAUCGGCUAACUCCGUGCCAGCAGCCGCGGUAAUACGGAGGAUCCGAGCGUUAUCCGGAUUUAUUGGGUUUAAAGGGAGCGUAGGUGGAUUGUUAAGUCAGUUGUGAAAGUUUGCGGCUCAACCGUAAAAUUGCAGUUGAAACUGGCAGUCUUGAGUACAGUAGAAGUGGGCGGAAUUCGUGGUGUAGCGGUGAAAUGCUUAGAUAUCACGAAGAACUCCGAUUGCGAAGGCAGUUCACUGGACUGCAACUGACACUGAGGCUCGAAAGUGUGGGUAUCAAACAGGAUUAGAUACCCCAGUAGUC